rnacentral:pre_miRNA from 1 species
AGCAUUCUGUAUCCGUGCUGAUAUUUCGUCACACACCAGGCCACAAGGUCUGAUGAGACCCUUAAAAUAAGUGAAGCG